CGUGUCCAUUCCUCUGUGUAGAAGUAGUCAAGGAGGCGUGAGGUUGUUGUCUUCAUUCAUCGUCAUUUUGAUCACCUCGUAAACUCUGCCACAUAGUGCACUCUGGAUAUUUUGUAGAGUAACGCCUGAAGAAGAUUCGAGCGAAGAGUGUGUGUGAUAUUAGAGAAAGGGUAGCGCUGGAAGAGAGAAAUGAGAAGAGGAAGUAAGAGUUUGAUGGAUCUGGGUGGCGGUGGCGGUGGCACAACUAGUCAGGGAUACAAGCCAAGAAUGGGUGACAGCAAUGGGGAAGGUGACACGAGUCGUUUAGAGCAGCUGAAACUAGAAGCACACAACGCUACUACCGUGUUAAACAAGCACUCACAGACAAGGAGCCAUGAGGUCACUGUGGGAGACCAAUGACUGUGUCUUAGAUGCAGCCAUAAUCUGGGGGCACCAAGGUCAUGUCUCCCCCCUUCCCACACAAAAAAGUUAAAUAUAUAAUUUUCCUGCAUUAUGGGGCAUUUUAAGAGAUCAGUUCUAAUAUUUUUUUUCAUUGAUGAUCAUGAUCUUUUUUGAGUGGACUACUGUACAGUAACAUUUAUUAGCACAAAGGUGCCGAGCAAUUCAAGUUCUGUUAAGUUAUAAAGCUGUAAACAUUCUUUCCAACAGCUAUUGGUUUAUGUUGUAAUGAAAGAAUAAGAAUUAUAGUCAGGCAGAAAGCAUGUACAAUGCUGUACUGCACUGUGCAGUACAGUACAGGGUUCUGUUACUGGCAGCUGUGGCUCUCCCUACACUUAUGGUUGUACUGGUCAGGGAAUUUCCUCUCAUAAGUAACUUUUUCUUCACAACACAUCAGCUGUAGUGCUCAGGCUUACAAAGGUGUUAUCCAGCGACACUUACUGCCUCAAUGGCUACGGUACUUAGCUGAUAAUUGGUAAAAAUUAUAAAUUUGAAUUAAUAUUAAAAAAAUAAAAAUAAAGUUAUACCUGUACUGAGCAAAAGUGUUAAGUAAUUUUUUA